rnacentral:rRNA from 1 species
GACAGAGGUGCCGAGCGUUAGGCGGAAUCACUGGGCUUAAAGCGUGUGUAGGCGGGCCGUUAAGUGUCUUGUGAAAUCCCCCGGCUCAACCGGGGAAUUGCUGGGCAUACUGGCGGUCUUGAGCAAUCUAGGGGCAGAUGGAACAAGUGGUGGAGCGGUGAAAUGCGUAGAGAUCCGGAGGAAGACCGGUGGCGAAGGCGGCCUGCUGGGCAGUUACUGACACUGAGGCGCGACAGCGUGGGGAGCAAACAGG